CGCCCGGGGCGCGCCCCGGGCGGGGCGGGGGCACGGGGGGAACGCGAAGAACCUUACCAGGUCUUGACAUCCCUCUGACCGCUCUAGAGAUAGAGUUUUCCUUCGGGACAGAGGUGACAGGUGGUGCAUGGUUGUCGUCAGCUCGUGUCGUGAGAUGUUGGGUUAAGUCCCGCAACGAGCGCAACCCCUAUUGUUAGUUGCCAUCAUUUAGUUGGGCACUCUAGCGAGACUGCCGGUAAUAAACCGGAGGAGGGUGGGGAUGACGUCAAAUCAUCAUGCCCCUUAUGACCUGGGCUACACACGUGCUACAAUGGCUGGUACAACGAGUCGCAAGUCGGUGACGGCAAGCUAAUCUCUUAAAGCCAGUCUCAGUUCGGAUUGUAGGCUGUAACUCGCCUACAUGAAGUCGGAAUCGCUAGUAAUCGCGGAUCAGCACGCCGCGGUGAAUACGUUCCCGGGCCUUGUACACACCG
rnacentral:rRNA from 1 species